CGGAGCUGCCGGAGUGGCCCGAGCUGCCCGGAGCUGCCGGAGUGGCCCGAGCUGCCAGACUGCCCCGACUGCCCCGAGCUGCCAGACUGGCCCGACUGCCCCGAGCUGCCAGACUGCCCCGAGCUGCCAGACUGCCCCGAGCUGCCAGCCUGCCCCGAGCUGCCAGACUGCCCCCACUGCCCCCCGGCGAUGCCAGAGUGGCCCGACUGCCUGGAACGGCCAGAACCGGAGCCACCUCCAGAUAUAGAGGACCUGAACCCUAGGACCAUGCCUCAGGACAACCUGGCCUGAUGACUCCUCACUGUCCCCAGUCCACCUGGUCGUGCUGCUGCUCCAGUUUCAACUGUUCUGCCUGCGGCUAUGGAACCCGGACGUCCUACCUGUCCCAGACCUGCUGUUUUCAACUCUCUAGAGACAUCAGGAGCGGUAGAGAUACCGUGAAUAAUCGGCUAUGAAAAGCCAACUGACAUUUACUCCUGAGGUGCUGACCUGUUGCAUGCUCUACAACCACUGUGAUUAUUAUUAUUUCACCCUGCUGGUCAUCUAUGAAGAUUUGAACAUCUUGGCCAUGUUCUGUUAUAAUCUCCCCCUGGCACAGCCAGAAGAGGACUGGCCACCCCUCAUAGCCUGGUUCCGCUCUAGGUUUCUUCCUAGGUUCCUGCCUUUCUAGGGAGUUUUUCCUAGCCACCGUGCUUCUACACCUGCAUUGCUUGCUGUUUGGGGUUUUAGGCAGGAUCAGCUGAUGUAAGAAGGGCUUUAUAAAUACAUUUGAUUGAAAUUUGAUUGAAUGUGCGGGGGCAUGGGUGUCAAGGUAAUUGAGGUAAUAUGUACAUGUAGGUAGAGUUAUUAAAGUGACUAUGCUAGAUAAUAACAGAGAGUAGCAGCAACGUCCCAAUCUAUAACUAGGGUGGCUGGAAUAUUUGACCCUUUUUAAGGCCUUCCUCUGACACCGCCUGGUAUAGAGGUCCUGGAUGGCAGGAAGCUUGGCCCCAGUGGUGUACUGGGCCGUACACAGGGGCGUUGCCAUGAAAAAAACACUCCUGGGCCCC
rnacentral:lncRNA from 1 species